rnacentral:rRNA from 1 species
UACGGGGGGAGCAAGCGUUGUUCGGAUUUACUGGGCGUAAAGGGCGCGUAGGCGGCGUGACAAGUCACUUGUGAAAUCUCCGGGCUUAACCCGGAGCGGCCAAGUGAUACUGUCGUGCUAGAGUGCGGAAGGGGCUACUGGAAUUCUCGGUGUAGCGGUGAAAUGCGUAGAUAUCAGGAGGAACACCGGUGGUGUAGACGGCUCACUGGACCGUAACUGACGCUGAGACACGAAAGCGUGGGGAGCAAACAGG